UCGAGCGAAACGAGAGAACGUUGCCGCAGGCAACGGCCCGAAGGGCGAGGCGCUUUAGCGCCGAGUAAUCCUUCCCCCACCACCA
rnacentral:sRNA from 1 species